CGGAACGGGUGAGUAACGCGUGAGGAACCUGCCUCAAAGAGGGGGACAACAGUUGGAAACGACUGCUAAUACCGCAUAAGCCCACGGCUCGGCAUCGAGCAGAGGGAAAAGGAGCAAUCCGCUUUGAGAUGGCCUCGCGUCCGAUUAGCUAGUUGGUGAGGUAACGGCCCACCAAGGCGACGAUCGGUAGCCGGACUGGGAGGUUGACGGCCACAUUGGGACUGAGACACGGCCCAG
rnacentral:rRNA from 1 species